rnacentral:rRNA from 1 species
CUAGACGGCCAUAGGGGCUUGGUUCCACCCGAUCCCUUAUUCCAGUGGAUCUGGAAGGGAAGUUCGAACUCGGAAGUUAAGCAAGCCUCCGUUCUGGGGAGUACUGCAUUGCGUGGGAAACUCAGAAAGCUGUCACCC